GUGCCAGCCGCCGCGGUAAGACGUAGGGCGCAAGCGUUGUCCGGAAUUAUUGGGCGUAAAGAGCUCGUAGGCGGCUCGUUGCGUCGGCUGUGAAAACCCGCAGCUCAACUGUGGGCUUGCAGCCGAUACGGGCGAGCUAGAGUUCGGUAGGGGAGACUGGAAUUCCUGGUGUAGCGGUGAAAUGCGCAGAUAUCAGGAGGAACACCGGUGGCGAAGGCGGGUCUCUGGGCCGAUACUGACGCUGAGGAGCGAAAGCGUGGGGAGCGAACAGGAUUAGAAACCCCAGUAGUCC
rnacentral:rRNA from 1 species